AUCCGGCUGAAGAGUCCCAAAUAGGACGAAACGCGCGUCCUGGAU
rfam:Schistosoma haematobium scaffold770_23, whole genome shotgun sequence.